rnacentral:rRNA from 1 species
GAUGAACGCUGGCGGCGUGCUUAACACAUGCAAGUCGAACGAGAAGUGGAGACGGAAACCUUCGGGCGGAAGGCUUUAUUUCGAGUGGCGGACGGGUUAGUAACGCGUGGGUACCCUGCCUCAUACAGGGGGAUAACAGUUGGAAACGACUGUUAAUACCGCAUAAGACCACAGCACCGCAUGGUGCGGGGGUAAAAACUGCGGUGGUAUGAGAUGGACCCGCGUUCGAUUAGCCAGUUGGCGGGGUAACGGCCCACCAAAGCGACGAUCGAUAGCCGAUCUGAGAGGAUGACCGGCCACAUUGGGACUGAGACACGGCCCAAACUCCUAGGGGAGGCAGCAGUGGGGAAUAUUGCACAAUGGGGGAAACCCUGAUGCAGCGACGCCGCGUGAGUGAAGAAGUAUUUCGGUAUGUAAAGCUCUAUCAGAAGGGAAGAAAAUGACGGUACCUGAGUAAGAAGCCCCGGCUAACUACGUG